CAGCAGCCGCGGUAAUACGUAGGGGGCUAGCGUUGUCCGGAAUUAUUGGGCGUAAAGCGCGCGCAGGCGGUCCCUUAAGUCUGAUGUGAAAGCCCACGGCUCAACCGUGGAGGGUCAUUGGAAACUGGGGGACUUGAGUGCAGAAGAGGAGAGCGGAAUUCCACGUGUAGCGGUGAAAUGCGUAGAGAUGUGGAGGAACACCAGUGGCGAAGGCGGCUCUCUGGUCUGUAACUGACGCUGAGGCGCGAAAGCGUGGGGAGCAAACAGGAUUAUAUACCCUGGUAGUCCACGCCGUAAACGAUGAGUGCUAAGUGUUAGAGGGGUUAAACCCUUUAGUGCUGGAGCUAACGCGUUAAGCACUCCGCCUGGGGAGUACGGCCGCAAGGCUGAAACUUAAAGGAAUUGGCGGG
rnacentral:rRNA from 1 species